rnacentral:tRNA from 1 species
UUGAUUGAGGCUAAACUAGAAGCAUGUCACUGUUAAUGAUAAAAGUGGUUAAACACCCAAUCAAG